rnacentral:rRNA from 1 species
GACGAACCGUGCGACCGUUGUUCGGAAUCACUGGGCUUAAAGGGCGCGUAGGCGGGCUGUCGCGUCUGGGGUGAAAUCCUCCGGCUCAACCGGGGAAGGGCCUCGGGUACGGACGGCCUCGAGGGGGGUAGGGGCGUGCGGAACUGUGGGUGGAGCGGUGAAAUGCGUUGAUAUCCACAGGAACUCCGGUGGCGAAGGCGGCACGCUGGACCCUCACUGACGCUGAGGCGCGAAAGCCAGGGGAGCGAACGGG